rnacentral:rRNA from 1 species
CCUACGGGUGGCUGCAGUGAGGAAUAUUGGUCAAUGGACGCGAGUCUGAACCAGCCAAGCCGCGUGCAGGAUGACUGCCCUACGGGUUGUAAACUGCUUUUAUAAAAGAAUAAAGUGAGGCACGUGUGCCUUUUUGUAUGUACCUUAUGAAUAAGGAUCGGCUAACUCCGUGCCAGCAGCCGCGGUAAUACGGAGGAUCCGAGCGUUAUCCGGAUUUAUUGGGUUUAAAGGGAGCGUAGACGGGUUGUUAAGUCAGUUGUGAAAGUUUGCGGCUCAACCGUAAAAUUGCAAUUGAUACUGGUAGGCUUGAGUGUAGUUGAGGUAGGCGGAAUGCGUGGUGUAGCGGUGAAAUGCUUAGAGAUCACGAAGAACUCCGAUUGCGAAGGCAGCUUACUAAGCUGCCACUGACAUUGAUGCUCGAAAGUGUGGGUAUCAAACAGGAUUAGAUACCCCAGUAGUC